rnacentral:rRNA from 1 species
AGAGUUUGAUCAUGGCUCAGGAUGAACGUUGGCGGCGUGCUUAACACAUGCAAGUCGAACGAGGUCCAACCUUCGGGUGAAGACCGAGUGGCGAACGGGUGAGUAACACGUGGGGAACCUGCCCUUCUCUCUGGGAUAACCUCGGGAAACCGAAGCUAAUACCGGAUACUCCUUGCGGACCGCAUGGUCUGCUCGGGAAAGCUCCGGCGGAGAAGGAUGGCCCCGCGGCCCAUUAGCUUGUUGGUGGGGUAACGGCCCACCAAGGCGACGAUGGGUAGCCGAGCUGAGAGGCUGAUCGGCCACACUGGGACUGAGACACGGCCCAGACUCCUACGGGAGGCAGCAGUGGGGAAUCUUGCGCAAUGGGCGAAAGCCUGACGCAGCAACGCCGCGUGCGGGAUGAAGGCUCUCGGGUCGUAAACCGCUUUCAGCAGGGAUGAAAAUGACAGUACCUGCAGAAGAAGCCCCGGCUAAAUACGUGCCAGCAGCCGCGGUAAUACGUAUGGGGCAAGCGUUAUCCGGAUUCAUUGGGCGUAAAGCGCGCGUAGGCGGCUUGUUAAGUCAGGCGUGAAAUCCGGGGGCUCAACCCGCGGCUUGCGUCUGAAACUGGCAGGCUUGAGUCUGGUAGAGGAAAGUGGAAUUCCUGGUGUAGCGGUGAAAUGCGCAGAUAUCAGGAGGAACACCAGUGGCGAAGGCGGCUUUCUGGGCCACGACUGACGCUGAGGCGCGAAAGCUAGGGGAGCGAACAGGAUUAGAUACCCUGGUAGUC